UAAAUAAUUAAAUUAGUCAAAUAAAGUAACUUAACAAAGGUACCAUUAUAUUAUUUGUAUCAAUAUUUGAAUUGAUUUAACAAACAAUUGAACUUUUAUGGUAUGGUAUUAUAUAUGUAUGAGCAAAUAAUUUAAUAUCUGAGUACGAUUGUGAAUAUGGAAAGGCAUUUGGCCUUUCUAUCUUAUUUAAGAUACAUAUGUCCAUGAAAUAGUCUUUCAUUAAAAAUCCAUUUUUUAGAAAAGCCACUUUUGUAUAUAUUAAUGAUAUUUCAACAUUCCGAUCCUUCCCUAGACUACAACAAGACUUAAUUAAUAUUUUAGCAGUCAUUACCAAUACUUCAUGCAAUUCAUUAUUUUCUGUUAAUCUCAUUUUCAAAAACCUACAAUGUUGCAAUAAUAUCUCAGCUUCACAUGUAACAUAUAAUGUAUUUCUGUAACAUAUAAGACACUAUUACAGCAUUACCUCCCUUUCACACUAUUAUACUGAUAUUUCAAAACAAAUUUCAACGUCCUUUGAAUUGCUAUAUGGCUUUAGAAAAUUGUGUAUCUGUGAUUAAAGUUCAUUUCUACAAUCCUCUUAUAAAAUAGGAAUGUUGCUACCUUCCAGUAAGGGAAGGAAUUUGUUGGUUAGUGAUUGACCUUGCUGAUAAAGUAAAAAUGUGUUUAUUUAAGAGAUGUUGAAAUGAAUAUUGAAACACUAUCUGUAUACCUACAUAUGAUGAAAAGAGACAAGGAAAAUAACCAAAAACACUUGAAAGCUUUAAACAUUGAAAAAAAGGAAAUGCCUCUUGAAAAACAGAGCUAAAACUUAUUUUUUUCAAAUUUAGAGAUAAAAAGACUUUAUCCUUUCUUUAGCAGGUUUGCACAAAUCUAUAGCAACCCAGGAAACUAUCAAGCAAAUAUUGAGUCUUGAAAAAUAGUAUUUUGAAUCUUUAUUAACUUGUAGAAAUUUAUAAAAAGUAUAAAAUGACCUCUAUCUGUAUUUCUUAGUCUUUCUUUAUAUCUAUGAUCUGUUGUAUUCACACACAGCUUGCUUUCACCAAAUAAAAC
rnacentral:lncRNA from 1 species